UUGUAACACCCUCCCACCAAGCGGCAGCCGGCUAGAGACCCGGGCCAUUAGAGGGGGGGAAAGCAGCAAUUAUAUAGGUUUGUGGUAAAUCGUGCUGUCUCGUCCAUUUGAAUAUUCCUUCUAUGUUAUUUUUAUUUUAUUGUUUCUCUUUCUAUUUCCCCUCCUUUCUUCUUUCUCUCUUUCUCUCUUUCUUUUCCUUCGUUUUUCCCUUCGGCGAGGGCGGCCGUAGGCCGCCGCCGCGAAAAUUUUCGGAAAUUUUUAGGUAUCGGGGACGGCGCGACACCGCCGCUCCUUAGCUAUUGAUAGCUGGACUUUGGGCCUCGAGCGCGCGCUAUCGGACCGCCCCAGAGGCUGUCGGAGCCGCCCGGUAGGGUUCGGAGAUGAUUAUAUAACCGUGCUUGGGGCGCGCGCGCGGCGUCGGGCUGCCCCGGGGUGCCGUCGGGGCGGGCCGACAUGGCUGUCCGCAAGCGUACUUUGGCGGGCGCGCGCGCUGUCGGACGCGCCCGGGGGGCCGUCGGGGCGGGCCGACAUGGCUGUCCGCAAGCGUUUUGCGGUACCAUUUUGCGGUACCAUUUCGUGGUACCAUUUCGUGGUACCGCUUUUUGGUACCGUUUUUUAAAGUGCGCCGAAUCGAUUCGCGGGAGCCUUAGGCAGACUGUACACACGACGUCGAGACGAUUGAUAUAUAUCUCGCCGCCGCCGGGCCCCGGUGGACCCUCCAAAAGGGCGGCCCUAGAAGUGGUACCAGUGGUACCAUUUGGCGGUACCAUUUCGUGGUACCAUUUCGUGGUACCGCUUUUUGGUACCGUUUUUUGGUACCGUUUUUUAAAGUGCGCCGAAUCGAUUCGCGGGAGCCUUAGGCAGACUGUACACACGACGUCGAGACGAUUGAUAUAUAUCUCGCCGCCGCCGGGCCCCGGUGGACCCUCCAAAAGGGCGGCCCUAGAAGUGGUACCAGUGGUACCAUUUGGCGGUACCAUUUCGUGGUACCAUUUCGUGGUACCGCUUUUUGGUACCGUUUUUUAAAGUGCGCCGAUUGAGCCCGGGACCGCUCCAGGCAUAUUCUACGGACGAUUCGGAGCUGAUUGACAUAGACCUCGCCGCCGCCGGGCCCCGGUGGACCCUCCAAAAGUCCGGCCCUAAAAGUGGUACCAGUGGUACCAUGGCCCCAAAAUGGUACCGCGGACCCAAACGGUACCAUAGACCCAAACGGUGUAUAUUAUUUUCAUAGCGAAUAGGUGCGUCUUCACGACGAACGACCCCUCCCUACCCAAAAAAUAAAAAAGUUCCCCCGAUCCAGCCGUGGCUCUUAUAGGUGUUUCCUAUUAGCCUGCUUUAACCCCUCUCGGGGUGCCAGAUCGAUAGCACCCCUCCCCGCCGACUUAUGCCACCUUCGAGUUCUGAAAUCAGAAAAUUUUUAACCAAGUCCGCGAUUUUGUUCUGUUCGAGCCUCUGGAAACCGUUAAUUUUGCGGGUGCCAAGCCCACUUUCGACUGGACCCAUACAAAUCUUCUGCAAGUAGUGACACGGCUGGGCCCAAGGCACGUGACGCGUGUGAAAUCGCUCGAACAGACCUCGGUGAGUAUAUGUAGGGUGAGGUGAUACCGAAAAACCAAAAGUGGGUGAAAACGUUCUUUUGUAUGUUUAGCGGUUGACCUUUAUUCUUGCAAUUAUUCCGCGGGGGUAUACGUGGGCGAGGCGGGUUGGGCGUGGCUAGUUAAGUGUUUUUAAUUAAGACUUAGCUUUUCCCUCGCCCGUAGUCUCGGUCUCUCGGUUUCUUGUUUGCUGCAAUCGGUUCUCGAUGUCAAGGCUACCAACCCUAGGUUGGGCUUUCGACGCACGGGACGGUUCUGCGGCCUUCAGCGGCCUCGCGGUCCGACUGAGGGUUGCCCGAAUGCCUAGCGUCUCUAUACGCUAGGUUUCGAUGGGGCUUGUCGAUUGUUGGUCGCUGACCAUCGCUGACAUCCUUAAUUCCCGGGGGGGAGGUCGAUCUCGAUAUCCGCCGGCGCUUUAACUGCGCCUGCGUGCUCGGGUGUCGAUUCCCUCCUUCCGCUCCCCCAAUGCCGCAGGGGCCGGGCACGACGUGUCUUUGGUCGCCAAAAACUGCGCGCGGAGGAUGGAGGGAAAACUAUAGUGGGGGCAAUCGAAUGCCCGGUUCUCUCGGACGGUACGUCGUCUCGCUGAGGUUCGGGCGGGCCUGUACGUCUCGCGCGUUGGGCCCCGACCUUGUUUGAUCACUUCUCGGGCGUGGUUAGCUGUGCUGCCCGCCCGGCGCCAGAUCCUUGGGCUUCCGUUCGGGGGCCCUGGGGGGCGGCGGCAGGUGAG
rnacentral:misc_RNA from 1 species